AGAGAUGUGUGAUGACGCAUAUCAAUAAGCGGAGGAAAAGAAACUAACAAGGAUUCCCCUAGUAACGGCGAGUGAAGCGGGAAGAGCUCAAAUUUGAAAUCUUAAAGGGUUUCCCAUUGACGAAUUGUAGUUUAAAGAAGUGUUUUCUGUUGGAGUUUUGGUAAAAGUUCUUUGGAAUAGGACAUCAUAGAGGGUGAGAAUCCCGUAUUUGACCGUUAUUUUCAGCUGUGUGAUACACUUUCAAAGAGUCGGAUUGUUUGGGAAUGCAGUCCAAAAUGGGUGGUAAAUUUCAUCUAAAGCUAAAUAUUGGCGAGAGACCGAUAGCGAACAAGUACCGUGAGGGAAAGAUGAAAAGAACUUUGAAAAGAGAGUUAAACAGUACGUGAAAUUGUCAAAAGGGAAGCGUUUGACACCAGUGUUGUUUUCUCGAAAAUCAAUUAAAAAUAACUUGAUUUUGUGUUGUAUUGACCUUAAAAGCUUUCUUCACUCUUUUCCUGUUAUUUUUAAUGCACUUUUCGUUUAACAAGUCAACAUCAGUUUCUUUUGUUGUAAAAAGGUCAUUGGAAGGUGGCUUUCUUUUCGGAGAAAGUGUUUAUAGCCUUUGACUCCUGCAAUCGGAGGGACUGAGGUCUGCAGCGUAGAUCCUUUUUUGGAUUAGAUUCAUUUGUGCUAAGUUAUAGCUUUUUAUAGACAACAUGUUGACUAUAUUUAGUCUUGUAACUUACUCGCUUAUGUAAUUUUACCUACGCUUAGGAUGUUGAAGUCAUCGUAUCGCGC
rnacentral:rRNA from 1 species